rnacentral:rRNA from 1 species
AUUGAACGCUGGCGGCAGGCUUAACACAUGCAAGUCGAGCGGAGUGAUGGUGCUUGCACUAUCACUUAGCGGCGGACGGGUGAGUAAUGCUUAGGAAUCUGCCAUUUAGUGGGGGACAACAUCCCGAAAGGAAUGCUAAUACCGCAUACGGCCUACGGGAGAAAGCCGGGGAUCUUCGGACCUUGCGAUAAAUGAUGAGCCUACGUCGGAUUAGCUAGUUGGUGGGGUAAAGGCCUACCAAGGCGACGAGCUGUAGCGGGUCUGAGAGGAUGAUCCGCCACACUGGGACUGAGACACGGCCCAGACUCCUACGGGAGGCAGCAGUGGGGAAUAUUGGACAAUGGGCGGAAGCCUGAUCCAGCCAUGCCGCGUGUGUGAAGAAGGCCUUUUGGUUGUAAAGCACUUUAAGCGAGGAGGAGGCUCUCCUAGUUAAUACCUAGGAAGAGUGGACGUUACUCGCAGAAUAAGCACCGGCUAACUCUGUGCCAGCAGCCGCCGUAAUAC